rnacentral:lncRNA from 1 species
UUAUUUAUAUGCCACAAGGUUUUUCAGUGCCGUGUUACUUCGAUUUAGGAUUGAUGCGUUGUGCUGUUCUCUAGACUAGUAUUUGCAUUAUGUUUGCGCUAUUUGGAAAAUCUAAAGCAUGCUUGUAGGCAGUGUUAUCACAUAUCAGCCAUGGCGGAUUUCGGUAGCGGAAUUCCAGACCACCGCCACAACAAGGCGGUGGCGAAUCGGAUUUCGCAUGGUGGCCCAUGGCGGCCGCUAUUGGCAUGGCGGAGCGGUAACGGAUAUCGGAGAUAUCCAAAAUAUCGGUAGGCAGCGGAGCUUGAAGGAGUAGAUGAAGAAGAAGGGCUGUUGCGGCGGCUGAUGAAGAAGAAGGGCUGCUGCGGCGGCUGAUGAAGAAGGCGGCUCGGAGUUGAUGAAGAAGGCGGCUGAUGAAGAAGAAGGGUGCAAAACCCUAACCCUAAUUUCUAAAAUAAAAAGAUUUGGGCCUAUGGCCCAUUUCAGAUUUAAAAUAAUAAAAAACUUAAAAUUUAAAUUAAAAAUACUAAAUAUUUAAAACUGACGUGUGGUGUGUGGUGGGGCUGCAACCCUAAUUUAAACACCUUAUUAGUGGGUUUUUCAAUCUUAAAAUUUUCAAAACUGAUGUGUGGCUUUUGGGCCUAUUUUGGCCCAAUUAAGAGACAUAUUACCCUAAGGCAAUUGCUUCCUGCACCAUAUCACUGCACCCAUCUCAGCGAAAAGACGAAACUGUCCUUAAAAAAAUUUUCCGAAAUAUGUGUUCUGAUUUUUUUUUCCGGAACAAAAUUUUAUAUUAAGGAUUUUUUUAUCUGGAAUGAGUUUUUCAUUUUUGUUUCCGGAUUUUCAUUUCCGAAACACAAUAAUUACUUUUCUGGAUUUUUUUUUCUGUGUUAUUUUUCAAUUCCGGAUUUUUUUAUUCAAAAUAGAAUUUUAAUUUUUGUUUCCAGAUUUUUAUUUCCGGAACUCAAUAAUCAUUUCCAGAUUUAUUUUUCUGAAAUAUAUUUUGAGGAAAGAGAUGGUAGAAAAACUGGUUUGGGCUUUCGCCGGCGGUGGUGACGAAUGAUUGAAUGAAUGAGCUUUUCAUAAGCAUAUCCGAAAAGGGCAAUUUCUCCCUCCAUCAUAUCAAUUUCAACAUGCACCCAAUCAGCUCUAGAAAAUGACAAAAAUACCCCUCUUAAAUGACUUAAAUAAUCUUACACAAAAAUGGAAAAAUUAUUUUUGAAACUUUUAUCUGAAAUAUUUUGGAUUUCAAUUUUCGGAAAUUUUUUAUCCAAAAUGUAUUUUAGUUUUGUGAUCAGAUUUUUUUUUCCAGCAUGUAUUUUUUUAUUUCUCAAUUAUAAUUAUUGUUUUGGAUUUUUUAAUUUGAAAUAAGGGUAGUUUUGGAAAUUUAAAAAAUUGAUAUGGUGCAGGAGGGUAGUUUUGAAAAUUUAGAAAAUUGAUAUGUUGGAGGUUAAAAUUGAUAUGGUGCAGGAGGGUAGUUUUGGAAAUUUAAAAAAUUAAUAUGGUGGAGGUUAAAAUUGAUAUGGUGCAGGAGGGUAGUUUUGGAAAUUUAAAAAGUUGAUAUGGUGGAGGUUAAAAUUGAUAUGGUGCAGGAAGAAUUUGCCUCCGAAAAGGGCGAAACCGGUUUAUGAAGGCCCAAAAGAAACAUUACUGGUCCCCAACCCUUUGCCGCCAUUGCCACAGCUCAUUCAUUCAAUCAUUCGUCGCCACCGCCGGCGAAAGCCCAAACCAGUUUUUCUACCAUCACUUUCCUCCGCAGGUGCGUUUAUUCUUUGGCGCACUCCUUUCUAAAGGGUCGUUGUCAAUUUUUUAUAUUUUUGUGAUUAUGGUUAUUGGGUGUGUCAAAUUUUGAAGCAAAAAAUGGGGAAGAAGAGAAAGCACGGUGAGAGUAGUGAACUUGUUGCACAGCCCAAAAAGGAAGAUACUGCUCCAGAGAGACCAACGAGGACCCUUUUGGGUUGGAAGGAUAAGAGUCUAGUCACUGAUGAAGUCGACGACAGCAACGUUGGUUCACCAAUAUUCAGGAACAAAGAGAAGGUUUUGGUCACUUGCUCUAGGCGCAUCAGUUACAGGUACAAUCUAAUACAAACCCCAUGACUUGUAGUUAUAGAUUUUGUGUUUUUCGUUUAUAGUUUGUAUUACUCUAUUUUUGUGUCUUGAUGUGCAAAGUUUAAGAACAGAGAAACCUUGUGCAGUGAGUCAGUUUUUGUAUAUUAUAAUGGUAUUUUUUUUGGGCGGAGUAUUUAUUUUCCAUUAAUUUGUAGGUACCGGCAUUUGAUGUUGAACUUGGUGUCACUUUUGCCGCAUUGCAAGAAGGAUAACAAGGUUGAAUCAAAGGAAACUAAAGGCACCACCCUGAACGAGCUUGUUGAGCUCAAAAGUUGCUCCUCGUGUUUAUUUUUUGAGGUAUUUUAUUUAUAUGCCACAAGGUUUUUCAGUGCCGUGUUACUUCGAUUUAGGAUUGAUGCGUUGUGCUGUUCUCUAGACUAGUAUUUGCAUUAUGUUUGCGCUAUUUGGAAAAUCUAAAGCAUGCUUGUAGGCAGUGUUAUCACAUAUCGGCCAUGGCGUCGCCAUGGCGGAUUUCGGUAGCGGAAUUCCAGACCACCGCCACAACAAGGCGGUGGCGAAUCGGAUUUCGCAUGGCGGACCAUGGCGGCCGCUAUUGGCAUGGCGGAGCGGUAACGGAUAUCGGAGAUAUCCAAAAUAUCGGUAGGCAGCGGAGCUUGAAGGAGUAGAUGAAGAAGAAGGGCUGCUGCGGCGGCUGAUGAAGAAGAAGGGCUGCUGCGGCGGCUGAUGAAGAAGAAGGCUCGGAGUUGAUGAAGAAGGCGGCGGCUGAUGAAGAAGAAGGGUGCAAAACCCUAACCCUAAUUUCUAAAAUUAAAAGAUUUGGGCCUUUGGCCCAUUUCAGAUUUAAAAUAAUAAAAAAUUUAAAAUUUAAAUUAAAAAUACUAAAUAUUUAAAACUGACGUGUGGUGUGUGGUGGGGCUGCAACCCUAAUUUAAACACCUUAUUAGUGGGUUUUUCAAUCUUAAAAUUUUAAAAACUGAUGUGUGGCUUUUGGGCCUAUUUUGGCCCAAUUAAGAGACAUAUUACCCUAAGGCAAAUGCUCCCUGCACCCAACACAAUUUUGAAAAUUCCAAAAAUGCCCUUUAUUCU